rnacentral:rRNA from 1 species
AUUGAACGCUGGCGGCGUGCUUAACACAUGCAAGUCGAUCGGUAACGCGGGGGCAACCCUGGCGACGAGAAGCGGACGGGUGAGGAACGCUUGGGCAUCUGCCUAUCAGCGGGGGACAACCCGGGGAAACUCGGGCUAAUACCGCAUACGCUCUACGGAGGAAAGCCGGGGACCGCAAGGCCUGGCACUGAUAGAUGAGCCCAAGUCGGAUUAGCUAGUUGGCGGGGUAACGGCCCACCAAGGCGACGAUCCGUAGCUGGUCUGAGAGGACGAUCAGCCAAGCUGGGACUGAGACACGGACCAGACUCCUACGGGAGGCAGCAGUGGGGAAUAUUGGACAAUGGGGGAAACCCUGAUCCAGCGAAGCCGCGUGGGUGAAGAAGGCCUGCGGGUUGUAAAGCCCUUUCGGUAGGGACGAAAACUCUCGACUUAACACGUCGGGAGCUUGACUUAACCUACAAAAGAAGCACCGGCUAACUCUGUGCCAGCCGCCGCGGUAACAC